GAGGGUAUAGCUCAGUGGCAGAGUAUGUAAUUAGUAUCCACGAGGUCCUGGGUUCAAUCCCCAGUACCUCCA
rfam:Camelus ferus unplaced genomic scaffold scaffold1074, whole genome shotgun sequence.